AGAUUGAAGCCCGCUGGCUUGGGUGUUUAGUUGUUAACUAGAUUAAUCGCGGGAUCGAGGCCCGCCUGUCUAG
rnacentral:tRNA from 1 species